UACGUAGGCGGCGCUGUUAGUCGGGUGUGAAAUCCCUCGGCUCAACCGAGGAACUGCGUCCGAUACUGCAGUGCUUGAGGGAGACAGAGGUAAGCGGAACUGAUGGUGGAGCGGUGAAAUGCGUUGAUAUCAUCAGGAACACCGGUGGCGAAAGCGGCUUACUGGGUCUCUUCUGACGCUGAGGUACGAAAGCUAGGGGAGCGAAGG
rnacentral:rRNA from 1 species